GAUGAACGCUGACAGCAUGCUUAACACAUGCAAGUCAACUUGAAAUUGGGUUUUUAUCUUCGGCUUGGGUGGCGGACGGGUGAGUAACGCGUAAAGAACUUGCCUCACAGCUAGGGACAACAUUCGUAAACGAAUGCUAAUACCUAAUAUUAUGAUAAUAGAGCAUCCUAUAAUUAUGAAAGCUAUAAGCGCUGUGAGAGGGCUUUGCGUCCUAGUAGCUAGUUGGAGAGGUAACGACUCACCAAGGAGAGGAUGGGUAGCCGGCCUGAGAGGGUGAUCGGCCACAAGGUGACUGAGACACGGCCCUUACUCCUACGGGAGGCAGGGGUGGAGAAUAUUGGACGAAGCACCGAGAGUCUGAUGCAGCACUUCUGUGUGCACGAUGAAGUUUUUCGGAAUGUAAAGUUCUUUCAGUUAGGAAGAAACAAAUGACGGUACCUACAGAAGAAGUGACGGCUAAAUACGUG
rnacentral:rRNA from 1 species